UUUAGAAAGAAUAAAUCAUCCAGGUAUAAUUAGACACUUUAAAAAUAAAAACUUUUAUUCUCUAUCUCUCUCUUUCACAAUUUUCUGGAAUUCCUUUCCAUUUUUCUUUAAUGUCUUUAUUUGUCCUGAAAAGGACCGGGCAUUCCAUUUGCAUUCACAUUCAUCUCAAUGAUGUCAUGUCCACUUAGGUUCUGUCACUCAUGAAUCCUCACCCUUGAAUUCAUCUCUCAGUUUCCUGAUCCACUUUGUCCCCACAAAAAGCGCCUACUUAAAAAUGUGAUGGUGGUCUGGCUCCAGAACUCCUGCUCCGAACUGUCAUCAUGCACUUCAUAUCUAGUCUAUGUUUCUUAACAUGAAAUCAUCAAAACAAACAGGUGAAACUCUAAAAUCUAUCAUAUGGAAUUAGUCAUGGUUCCCUCCACUACCAUUCACCUGAAAAUAUUGACAUUUAUCCACCUACAUAAUCAAGUCCUAGAACCUGAAAAAAAAUCUCAUUAUCCCAUGCCACAUCUCAGUAACUAUAUGUCUUCGGAGCAUACCGCAAUUCCAGGAAGAAAAUGUGAGAAAUCUUCUCUGGAAUGAGAGCCCAGGACUUGGCUGCCAGUAACUGCUGCAGGAGAAACAGCCUUCUCUCCCCUGCGUUUGUGUUUCCAGCAUCCCGGCCUCCCUCCACACUCUGUUACUUCCCUGGUGGAAGAGGGAGAGGAUUAUCUGAGUGGGAAGUUCAGAGAGAAGAAGCUGGCAGGCAUGGUUAAUCCCUUCACUCCUUUCUCUGGGAUUCACCUCUCUGCAAGCUGUUUCUUCUUGACUCUUGGCUUUUGUGCAUUUACAAUAAGACCCCAGGCUCCAGGAAGGGAGCCCGGUGGUAGCACAGACACCUAUGGCUGGGAGGAUGGGUCUCCUAGUUCUAGGGCUCAUUGUUCAGAAGUCCCUAGUACUGCAGUCCUCAGCCAUAUCUUCCCCCAUAGCAGUAAUAAGGCUGAUAUUUUUAUCUCCCUCUACCAAACCUCUGCAUUUAUCUCUUAGGUGGUUCCAAGUCUGAGUGAGUGAGUGUCACUGGUUUUCUUUAAGUCCUCACAGGAAUCCAAGAUCAAGAAUAAAUGUGUUGAAAGAAAUUAAAAUAUUAGCAUCGUAUAUACUUAAAGAUUCAAGAUUCACUUGAUCUACUUAAUUGAAUAUUAGCAAAGAUAAAAGACACGUUCUCAUUUUUCUUCUCUUUGAAGCCUCAUAUAUUCAUGCUUGGGGGCUCAGGAGGCUAAAACAUACUGAGAAUAUACACAUCUGUCUUCCCAAAUCUCUCCUCAAUUUUCACAAAACAUGUUUAAAAACUAUUAAUCUUGUAAACAAAAAAUAUUUGGUUUACUCUUAUAUUUAGAAAACUCUAAAUGUCAAGGAAGCAAAAGUUACAGGUGUGGAAUGCACUACCCUUAAAUUUAGGGUGAACAGGUGAUGGCAGCUGCCACCUGUGGGUUGCAGGGAGUUGACUGUGUGGACUCUUGCUCAUGAUGGCCUGUGAGUAUUCACCUAACACUAUCUGAUAGCAAUAUUUUACAGAAAUUGUCAAAUGCCUCUAGUUUCUUUGCAACAGUCUUAAAGUAAUAAGUGGCCAGACAAUAGAUUAUAAAAUAUAGGGAUGCAUCCCUCUCAAGUUCAGGUCAGGUAUUGUCUACCCCCAGCCCUAGACUAUGGGGCCCUGGAAGGUAAAUUCUCCUUCUUAUUAUUAGCUUUGUUAUCAGAUUGCCUCACAGUACUUAUGUAUAGCUGGCAAUAAAUAUUGCCUAAAACAACAUAAUUGGAUAAUCUGCUAAUGGUAAACAUGAGUCUCAAUAAGAGAACAGAAAAAGUAAGACGAUCUGUUGAGCUUUCUUGUGAGCUAUAUGGUGAAUAAAGUGUUUCUAAUGGUUUCGUGUCUUUUAGAUUUCAGGAUAAAUAGGUGCAUAUGAAUCAGCUGAUUUCUGUUACUGGAGUGCAGUAGUAGUACAGAUUUCCCAAGCUUUGAAUCAACAAACGCAGAAGUCUCUCUAACAUUAGGCCCCUUCCCACUUGUUAUUUUGUUGUUCAUUGCUAUGGGUUACCACAUCUCAUUCUGGAGAAAACAAAGCAGGUUUUCCAAAGUCAGGAAAUCUUACACAUCUUUCCAGAGAAGACCUUAUAUUCGACCCCAUCUCAGUUUCCUCGCCUAACGUAGGAAGCAGGAGACUUCUCCAGUGUCACAAAGCUGAUCAGGCAUGAAAACUGAGUCUCUUAACUCACACACUAGAGUUUUUUGUUUAGCAGUUGUGACCUGGGGUAGACGCUCACUGCAUGUAUUGCCUUUAAGAUGCCUGCUUUUGCACAAUUCACAAUUGCAAAGAUAGGGAACCAACCUAAUCGGCGAUCCACUGAUGAGCGGUAACGAAAAUAUGGUACAUACACACUAUGGAUACUAUUCAGUUAUAAAAAAAGAAUGAAAUGAUGUCUUCUGCAGUAACUUGGAGGGAACUGGAGGCUAUUUUUCUAAAUGAAGUAACUUGGGAAAGGAAAACCAAACACUGCAUGGGAGCUAAGCCAUGGGCAUGCAAGGGCAUACGGGGUGGUUAAUGAACAUUGGAGACCCAGAAGCGUG
rnacentral:lncRNA from 10 species